CCAAACAAGCCCAAGGCUGAGCAGGAAAAAAUCACUGACACUAAGCCAGCAGGAAGAAACCCUAACCAUGAACCUCUUCUAUAACAGACUUUGAGUGUGACCUCCUCUGCUUCCCCUCAAGGGCUGUUGUUUGAGGAAGACUGAAGCUGCUCGCAGGAGAAUCCAGAAGGGCAUUGCAAAGGUGACCUUAGUACCAACAAAAAGAGUAAGACUUAAAGAUGGACAGUGAAUGUGGAAGAUAGAAAAAUCUGAACAAGAUGAAAGAAGACAGGAGCCUUGAAAAAAACCCAGUCUGUCACAUAUCAGGGGCACAACAUCUGGACAUCAGUAGCAGACAGACUGCCUGUUGUCCUGAUCCAGCUGCUUUCUUCUGGCUCAGCCUGAAAACUCAGGAGAGAGCACAAGUAGGGAUUAAUGAGCUGUUUUCAGGGAAAGCAAAUGCUCCAGGGAAGAUGGCACGGAGGUUUCAGAUAUUCAACAGACCAGCUCCUGCACACUCUCUGUUUAAACCUUCCCAAGUUUAACAACAACUGAGGAUCCAUUUUGCUUGAUCAGGCUCUCAAGGUAAAUGGUAGGAUUUAUUUUCUACUAAUCUACAUUGUAUGCUUUUCUUAUCUCUAUUUGUCUGUGAUGAAUUUGGAAGUUAUUCUGAAGCUCAUUGUAAAAUUCACCUCAUUUUUAGGAGUAGGUUCAUAAUCAUAUAGUUUAGCUUACAUGAAAAUGACAAGUUCAAUGAAGUGCUUUGGCUAAUAUUUCCAGAUUUUUCUGCCUAAGUUAUUUCACCUGCAUUUAUGGACUCCACAUUUUUUCUAACACAGAAGGAAGGACCACCUGAUUUUCUGUUUAAGUUAAAACUUUUUUCUCUUGAAAUAAUAAACUGAGAAUAAUAUAAACA
rnacentral:lncRNA from 1 species